GAGGGAUGGCCGAGUGGACGAUGGCGGCGGUCUUGAAAACCGUUACCCGCAAGGGUCGGGGGUUCGAAUCCCUCUCCCUCC
rnacentral:tRNA from 1 species